GCCUCAGUGGUCUAGUAGUAUGAUUCGCCCUUCGGGUUAAUUCCCGCUUAUAUUACGUAAGCAUUGCAUGGGUGAGGUCCUGGGUUCAAUUCCCAGCUGGGGCC